CUUGGCUAAGGUGUCUUGGCUAAGGUGUCUUGGCUAAUGUGUCUUGGCUAAGGUGUCUUGGCUAAUGUGUCUUGGCUAAGGUGUCCUGGCUAAGGUGUCUUGGCUAAGGUGUCUUGGCUAAUGUGUCUUGGCUAAGGUGUGUUGGCUAAGGUGUCUUGGCUAAGGUGUCUUGGCUAAUGUGUCUUGGCUAAGGUGUCUUGGCUAAGGUGUCUUAGCUAAUGUGUCUUGGCUAAGGUGUCUUGGCUAAGGUGUCUUGGCUAAGGUGUCUUGGCUAAUGUGUCUCGGCUAAUGUGUCUUGGCUUAUGUGUCUUGGCUAAUGUGUCUUGGCUAAUGUGUCUUGGCUAAGGCGUCUUGGCUAAGGUGUCUUGGCUAAGGUGUCUUGGCUAAGGUGUCUUGGCUAAUGUGUCUUGGCUAAGGUGUCUUGGCUAAUGUGUCUUGGCUAAGGUGUCUUGGCUAAUGUGUCUCGGCUAAUGUGUCUUGGCUAAUGUGUCUCGGCUAAGGUGUCUUGGCUAAUGUAUCUCGGCUAAUGUGUCUUGGCUAAUGUGUCUUGGCUAAUGUGUCUUGGCUAAGGUGUCUCGGCUAAUGUGUCUUGGCUAAGGUGUCUUGGCUAAUGUGUCUUGGCUAAGGUGUCUUGGCUAAUGUGUCUUGGCUAAUGUGUCUUGGCUUAUGUGUCUUGGCUAAGGUGUCUUGGCUAAUGUGUCUUGGCUAAGGUGUCUUGGCUAAUGUGUCUCGGCUAAUGUGCCUUGGCUAAGGUGUCUUGGCUAAGGUGUCUUGGCUAAGGUGUCUUGGCUAAGGUGUCUUGGGUAAUGUGUCUCGGCUAAUGUGUCUUGGCUAAUGUGUCUUGGCUAAGGUGUCUUGGCUAAUGUGUCUUGGCUAAGGUGUCUUGGCUAAUGUGUCUCGGCUAAGGUGUCUUGGCUAAGGUGUCUUGGCUAAUGUGUCUUGGCUAAGGUGUCUUAUCUAAGGUGUCUCGGCUAAGGUGUCUUGGCUAAGGUGUCUUGGCUAAUGUGUCUCGGCUAAUGUGUCUUGGCUAAUGUGUCUUAGCUAAUGUGUCUUGGCUAAGGUGUCUCGGCUAAUGUGUCUUGGCUAAUGUGUCUCGGCUUAUGUGUCUUGGCUAAGGUGUCUUGGCUAAGGUGUCUUGGCUAAUGUGUCUUGGCUAAUGUGUCUUGGCUAAUGUGUCUUGCCUAAGGUGUCAUGGGUAAUGUGUCUCGGCUAAGGUGUCUUGGCUAAUGUGUCUUGGCUAAGGUGUCUUGGCUAAUGUGUCUUGGCUAAGGUGUCUUUUCUAAUGUGUCUUGGCUAAGGUGUCUUGGCUAAGGUGUCUUGGCUAGUGUGUCUCGGCUAAGGUGUCUUGGCUAAGGUGUCUUGGCUAAUGUGUCU